rnacentral:lncRNA from 1 species
CACGAUGAUUUGGAACGAUAUUGCAAUCAAUUGAAGGAACUUGAAGAAAAGAGAAAGAAAAUGAAGCUAUUAUUGUGCCGGGGCCACAACAAAGCUUGAGAGGUCCAACUUACCAAUACUAUCAACCUUAACCCUGAGCCUAUACAACAAAUCCAUAUACUCGCCUGCAAAAAGGUUUCUCUCUCCGAAAUCUAAAAUAACCCACUCCUCUUCUUCAGUAUCAUUUGAACAAUGCAUAACUAUAUACUCAUCCAUGUUCUUAUCCAUAAUGGAAUGCACCACUCCCCGAC